UACGUAGGGUGCGAGCGUUGUCCGGAAUUACUGGGCGUAAAGAGCUCGUAGGUGGUUUGUCGCGUUGUUCGUGAAAUCUCACGGCUUAACUGUGAGCGUGCGGGCGAUACGGGCAGACUGGAGUACUGCAGGGGAGACUGGGAUUCCUGGUGUAGCGGUGGAAUGCGCAGAUAUCAGGAGGAACACCGGUGGCGAAGGCGGGUCUCUGGGCAGUAACUGACGCUGAGGAGCGAAAGCGUGGGGAGCGAACAGG
rnacentral:rRNA from 1 species